AUCAAAGUUUAAAAUCUUACAAGGACUAUUUAUAAGCUUAUUUAGCAUUUUUUUAACAAUAACAUUGAUGCUGUAUUUUUGAAGUAAAUUUAAUGUAAAUUAAUAAAAAGAUACUUGGGUUUCAGUAUUGAAAGCAUAGAAAAAUGGUCAAAAUGUCUUCAAAUUUUAAGAAAACUAGAUUCAGCAAUAGAAAGGUAAUUCAAAUAUUUAUAUCAACUUAUUGGUAUAAAUUGAUAGACACUGUGAUAUUUUAUCAUUUGAUUAUAUAGGUUGUUUGACUGUGUAAAAACAUCAUAAUUUUUUUUUUUAUUUAAGAAGUUUGUCUGAUAACGAGAAGACUCCUUUAUUAAGAAAAUUUUGUUUCUACCUGUACUAACUGUAUAAUUAUAACCCUGCUAAAUUGAUAUUAUUUUGAUGUAAACGGUUAUAAUAUGUCACUCCAAAAAUAGAAACAUGAUACUGU
rnacentral:sRNA from 1 species